rnacentral:lncRNA from 1 species
ACCGGGCUGGGAGCUCGCCACGGCCACCUGCUCCUCCUGUCCUCUGGGAACGCAUCAGUGCACGGCUGCAUGCAGCACGUGGCAUCUUAUAUCACGGCUGGUGGGGCUGGGGGGUGGGACAGGAGGUGCCCGGGUGCCGCUGACCCUGGACAUGGGGGGGGAGGCGAGAGGUGGCCCUGCCUCUGCUGGCGGAGACAUCCCGGGGACACGGGGCCUGAUGAGGACAGAUCGCAGGGCCUCACCCCAACAGACCGCCUUGAAAACUGCGGUGAUUCCGCUCUGUUUCUUUGAUUUCUCCUUAUUCUGCUGUGGGUGGGGAGCACGGAGCAGCCCCAGCCCUGCCUGGCAGUGGGGAUCGCUCCGGGGGCUCGGUGCUGUGGAUGCUGGCAGCCCCCCCAAACCACAGCUUCCCUCGUCCCCAGAGGGUUUUCUCCUUCACUGCGCACACCUGCGGGCGGUUGUGGCAGCGAGGGCUUGGGGAGGGGGCUGGCACUGCUGCCAUAAAGGGCCUGCCCGGGGCAGGGCUGGGGUUUUGCUGCCUGCGGGAGGUCUGCUCGGGGGCUCAGCUCAUCCUCUGGAGGUGCAGCAGUGCUGGGAAGCAAUGGAAAAGCAGAAUGUGAGCGUAAUUGCUGGGAAUUAAAUAAGGAUGCAGUUGUGGCUGGAGCAGGACCUCGCGUGACUGAGCGCGCAGAAAGUUGUGUCCCCCGGCUGCUCCCCGGCGCCCCGUGCCAGCAGGGAGCUGCUGUGGCCUUGGUUCAGCCCCGGAGCCGUGGAGGGUCCCUGGGGUCUGUGUGCACCGCUGUGUCCCAGCCGAGGGCUGGCCGGAGGGAAUUUGCUGACCGGAGCUGGGCAACCCGUGAGUAUCCCCUGCAGCCUGCCGGGUUUGGUUUCUCCUGGUCCUGGGGCUGGACGGUACCAUUGGGUGGUUUUCCUUGAUGAGCAUCUCCAGCAGGGUGUGCUGAGCCCCUCAAAGCAAGCUCCUGACUCCUUAAGGCAUUUUCAGCUUCUGUUUGUCCUCCUUGUGUUGCUUUCUGAGUGGCUGCUUCCUCCCCGCCGUGGUGGCAAUGGCAAACCUGUAACUGGGAUGUGCUGGGAGGGGAGGAAAUGGUGCUGGGGUGGCGACCGCCUCACCUGCGCCCUUGGCUCUAUGCUCUUCCUAUCCCAAAGCUGUGCUGGUGGGAGCAGCACCCGGGGCUGAGCAGUGCCUCCUCGCUGGGGUUUUCUCCUCCAGCACCCGGAGGCAGGAUGCUGGAGUCAGUUUGUGCAUUACCAAGGCUGAAGCCUGCUAAUUGCUCCAUUGCCGUGCUGCGUGGAGCUGGCAGGGUGAGCAGGGGGGUGUGGGGGGUGCUGGCGUGGUGAGGGGCUGCCCUGCCUCUGCUCGGUGUGGUCGGGGAGCUGGCAUCGCCCUCAUGUCCUGGAUGGGAGAACGCUGCUGAAAUGGGGACUGUGCGGAGAAGGGCUACGAAAAUGGUUCCUGGUCUGGAAAAUGUGCUUUGCUGUGAGAUGUGAGACUAAACUUCCAGGAGAAGUUUAGGAGGUGGCUUGGAGACGGAGGCACUUCUAGGCUGUGAUCAAGAGAUUUCUGCGAGUGCAGAGCUGGCUGAUUUAGCAGGGGACACGGAACAAGAUCCAGGCGCUGA